CCCUUGAGGGUAAUUGGAAGACCAAAAAGACGUUGCUGAAACCCCCAUUUUUACUAAAAAAAUGGGCAGCUUUGUUACAAAUUCGAGCGACAUGGGCGAAAGAAAGCGAUUCGAAGGACAGGGCGGGCGAGCGUACUUCCGUCAAGAGGUUCAGUUCAUCACCUAAUGUAGAGAUUUCAUCCAUAAGAAGCCGAAUUGUCAGGAGGGAAUCAGAUUCAAGUUCAAGGCAUUUGCAAUUCAAAGAUCGAGCAAACCGCAGUCCUUAUAGAAUUCCUUUAAUUUCAGCAAUAAGUGGUGGAAGGGAUUGAGGAAGGAAAACCGAUUUGGCCGCUACCAAAGUGCCAUCGGACUUGUGCAAGAGAAAUCCCAGACCUGAUGAAGAAGGUCUACAUGCAGCAUCUGUAUUGAGCUUCAAAUGGCCGUCACACGGAGGAUUCCAAAUCUGGCUAUGGUACAGAAAUUUGCUUCCCAUGAACCGUUGAAUUUCGAUCACACCAAAUUGGCCAACAGGGUACUUAGGUAGAGAGUGGAAAAAGAGUAUGCCAAAUCUUCCGAGCUCGCUUGCACUAAAAAAUCGCAUGGAAAAUACUUUCUGGUUUGGAUUUCCAGGGGAACAUAAAGGUGAAGGAUUUGUUGGUGACCAUGGUGAUGAGACGGAGGAGACAUGACGAGCGAGGACCAUAAGCUGCGUAGUUUACCUUUGCUUAGCUUAAGUUUAGUUGGUUAAGACCCUUUGUUUGGUCGAUAAACUAUUUGAUCUUAUCUGAAUAAUUGGGAGGUUCCCACUUGUUGUUUAUUUUAUUUCGGGAUAGGUGUUUACUUUAGUUUUCUUCCAUUCAUUGAGUUUUGCCUAGCUGAAAUAAUAAAUUUGCCUCGUGAGGUUGUCCACGGAUGCUGUUGAUUGAUAUCCUAUGGAAUUGAUUUAUUGUUAAA